rnacentral:rRNA from 1 species
UACGUAGGGUGCAAGCGUUGUCCGGAUUUACUGGGCGUAAAGCGCGCGCAGGCGGCAGUACAAGUACCCUCUGAAAUCUCCUUGCUCAACGAGGAGGGUGGAGGGUAGACUGUGCAGCUAGAGGAGGGUAGAGGGGGGGUAGAAUUCCACGUGUAGCAGUGAAAUGCGUAGAGAUGUGGAGGAACACCAAUGGCGAAGGCAGCCCCCUGGGUCAAGAUUGACGCUCA